GACGAACGCUGGCGGCGUGCCUAAUACAUGCAAGUAGAACGCUGAAGGAGGAGCUUGCUUCUCUGGAUGAGUUGCGAACGGGUGAGUAACGCGUAGGUAACCUGCCUGGUAGCGGGGGAUAACUAUUGGAAACGAUAGCUAAUACCGCAUAAUAGCAGUUAUUGCAUGAUAACUGUUUGAAAGGUGCAAUUGCACCACUACCAGAUGGACCUGCGUUGUAUUAGCUAGUUGGUGGGGUAACGGCUCACCAAGGCGACGAUACAUAGCCGACCUGAGAGGGUGAUCGGCUACACUGGGACUGAGACACGGCCCAGACUCCUACGGGAGGCAGCAGUAGGGAAUCUUCGGCAAUGGACGGAAGUCUGACCGAGCAACGCCGCGUGAGUGAAGAAGGUUGUCGGAUCGUAAAGCUCUGUUGUAAGAGAAGAACGAGUGUGAGAGUGGAAAGUUCACACUGUGACGGUAUCUUACCAGAAAGGGACGGCUAACUACGUG
rnacentral:rRNA from 1 species